UACAGAGGGUGCGAGCGUUAAUCGGAAUUACUGGGCGUAAAGCGCGCGUAGGUGGCGCCGUAAGUCAGGUGUGAAAUUUCGGAGCUUAACUCCGAAACUGCAUUUGAUACUGCGGUGCUUGAGGACUGGAGAGGAGACUGGAAUUUACGGUGUAGCAGUGAAAUGCGUAGAGAUCGUAAGGAAGACCAGUGGCGAAGGCGGGUCUCUGGACAGUUCCUGACACUGAGGCACGAAGGCCAGGGGAGCAAACGGG
rnacentral:rRNA from 1 species